CCUACGGGUGGCAGCAGUGAGGAAUAUUGGUCAAUGGACGAGAGUCUGAACCAGCCAAGUAGCGUGAAGGAUGACUGCCCUAUGGGUUGUAAACUUCUUUUAUAUGGGAAUAAAACGUUCCACGUGUGGGAUUUUGUAUGUACCAUAUGAAUAAGGAUCGGCUAACUCCGUGCCAGCAGCCGCGGUAAUACGGAGGAUCCGAGCGUUAUCCGGAUUUAUUGGGUUUAAAGGGAGCGUAGGUGGAUUGUUAAGUCAGUUGUGAAAGUUUGCGGCUCAACCGUAAAAUUGCAGUUGAAACUGGCAGUCUUGAGGACAGUAGAGGUGGGCGGAAUUCGGGGUGUAGCGGUGAAAUGCUUAGAUAUCACGAAGAACUCCGAUUGCGAAGGCAGUUCACUGGACUGCAACUGACACUGAGGCUCGAAAGUGUGGGUAUCAAACAGGAUUAGAUACCCCGGUAGU
rnacentral:rRNA from 1 species